GACGAACGCUGGCGGCGUGCUUAACACAUGCAAGUCGAACGGAAAGGCCCUGCUUUUGUGGGGUGCUCGAGUGGCGAACGGGUGAGUAACACGUGAGUAACCUGCCCUUGACUUUGGGAUAACUUCAGGAAACUGGGGCUAAUACCGGAUAGGAGCUCCUGCUGCAUGGUGGGGGUUGGAAAGUUUCGGCGGUUGGGGAUGGACUCGCGGCUUAUCAGCUUGUUGGUGGGGUAGUGGCUUACCAAGGCUUUGACGGCUAGCCGGCCUGGGAGGGUGACCGGCCACAUUGGGACUGAGAUACGGCGCAGACGCCUACGGGAGGCAGCAGUGGGGAAUAUUGCACAAUGGGCGGAAGCCUGAUGCAGCAACGCCGCGUGCGGGAUGACGGCCUUCGGGUUGUAAACCGCUUUCGCCUGUGACGAAGCGUGAGUGACGGUAAUGGGUAAAGAAGCACCGGCUAACUACGUG
rnacentral:rRNA from 1 species